rnacentral:rRNA from 1 species
GGCGCGCUCUGCGCGCACCGGCGGACGGCUCAGUAACACGUCGGUAACCUACCCUCGGGAGGGGGAUAACCCCGGGAAACUGGGGCUAAUCCCCCAUAGGCCUGGGGUACUGGAAGGUCCCCAGGCCGAAAGGGGCUCUGCCCGCCCGAGGAUGGGCCGGCGGCCGAUUAGGUAGUUGGUGGGGUAACGGCCCACCAAGCCGAAGAUCGGUACGGGCCAUGAGAGUGGGAGCCCGGAGAUGGACACUGAGACACGGGUCCAGGCCCUACGGGGCGCAGCAGGCGCGAAACCUCCGCAAUGCGGGCAACCGCGACGGGGGGACCCCCAGUGCCGUGGCACAGCCACGGCUUUUCCGGAGUGUAAAAAGCUCCGGGAAUAAGGGCUGGGCAAGGCCGGUGGCAGCCGCCGCGGUAAUACCGGCGGCCCAAGUGGUGGCCGCUAUUAUUGGGCCUAAAG